rnacentral:sRNA from 1 species
AUGCUCCACACUUGUGUAGUCUCUAACAAUUCUUCUAUAUAGCUUCUUAUGUUUCUUCACUCUGUGUUCUGUGCUUGUGUAGUCUCUAAUGAUUCUUUCACAUAGCUUCUUACAUUCUUUCACUCUGUGUUCUGCACUUGUGUAGUCUCUAAUGAUUCUUCUGUGUAGCUCUCAAUGAUUCCCCUGCUCCACAUUCUGCACUUGUGUAACUUCUAACAAUUCUUAUACAUAUCCCUUAAUGUUCUUCCACUCCACACUUCACUGUGAAGCAGCUUCUGAUAUUCUUCUGCUCUGAACUUUCCUCUAUAAGAACCCUCUUUGUAUGACCUUUUCUUCUGAUUUCUUUUCUCUUUCUUUCCUUAAUCAAUUCAUAAUCUGUAAUUAGGAU